UACGGAGGGUGCAAGCGUUGUCCGGAUUUAUUGGGUUUAAAGGGUGCGUAGGCGGCUCUUUAAGUCAGUGGUGAAAUCCUACAGCUUAACUGUAGAACAGCCAUUGAUACUGAAGAGCUUGAGUACAGACGAGGUAGGCGGAAUUUAUGGUGUAGCGGUGAAAUGCAUAGAUACCAUAAAGAACUCCUAUUGCGAAGGCAGCUUACUAGGCUGUAACUGACGCUGAGGCACGAAAAGCGUGGGGAUCAAACAGGA
rnacentral:rRNA from 1 species